CCUACGGGGGGCAGCAGUGAGGAAUAUUGGUCAAUGGACGAGAGUCUGAACCAGCCAAGUAGCGUGAAGGAUGACUGCCCUAUGGGUUGUAAACUUCUUUUAUAUGGGAAUAAAAUGUUCCACGUGUGGGUUUUUGUAUGUACCAUAUGAAUAAGGAUCGGCUAACUCCGUGCCAGCAGCCGCGGUAAUACGGAGGAUCCGAGCGUUAUCCGGAUUUAUUGGGUUUAAAGGGAGCGUAGGUGGGUUGUUAAGUCAGUUGUGAAAGUUUGCGGCUCAACCGUAAAAUUGCAGUUGAAACUGGCAGUCUUGAGUGCGGUAGAGGUGGGCGGAAUUCGUGGUGUAGCGGUGAAAUGCUUAGAUAUCACGAAGAACUCCGAUUGCGAAGGCAGCUCACUGGACUGCAACUGACGCUGAGGCUCGAAAGUGUGGGUAUCAAACAGGAUUAGAUACCCUUGUAGUC
rnacentral:rRNA from 1 species